rnacentral:rRNA from 1 species
AAAACUUUCAACAACGGAUCUCUUGGUUCUCGCAUCGAUGAAGAACGCAGCGAAUUGCGAUACGUAAUAUGACUUGCAGACGUGAAUCAUUGAAUCUUUGAACGCACAUUGC